AGCGAACGCUGGCGGCAGGCCUAACACAUGCAAGUCGAACGAACCUGCCGGGCUUUGUGGCGGACGGGGGGGGACCACGGGGGAACGUGCCCGUAGGUACGGAAUAACUCAGGGUAACUUGUGUUAAUACCGCAGGUGCUCAUCGGGGGUAAGAGCAAUCGCCUCUAGAGCGGCGCGCGUCUGUUUAGCUAGUUGGUUGUGGUAAUGGCUCGCCAAGGCGUCGUUCAGUAGCUGGUGUGAGAGGAUGAUUAGACACAUUGGGACUGCGACACGGACUAAAAUCCUACGCGAGGCAGCAGUGGGGAAUCUUGCGCGAUGGGCGAAAACCUGACGAAGCCGUGCGGCGUAAAUGAUGAAGGUCUUAGGAUUGUAAUAUUCUUUCUCAGGGGGCGUUAAUGACGGUAACCGGAAAAGAAGCCCCGGCUAACUACGUG
rnacentral:rRNA from 1 species